UUUUUUUCAGUUGAUCAUGAUCUUGAAAAGGUCAGUCAUCGAUUUAGAUAAUCAGGAUUGAUGAACCCUUUUACGUUUAUGUUGAUUCAGCUUGAUUUUUACUCAUGAUUCAUGAAGCUAAUUCAGCAUCAGACUCAUCAGUGCACUUCUGUCUCCAAGCUUUACAUUUUGGUGUACUAACCAUGCUGUCCGUGCAGGUUUCUGCAGUGAGGAGUAAUGAGGUCUUGCCCUUCAGGAGAAGAAUCCAGGCUUCAACAAGGCCCUUCAAGAUGGGAAGCUUCAAAUACCUAUAUCAUUUGCCAAAAAAUAUAUCUGCAGCUUAGGUGAGACUGAAAAGGUGAACCUCCGAAUUCCAAAUGGAGAAACUUACUCUGCUGAAAUCAGUGUCAAGAAUUAUGUCGGAUGCAACGAUAGUGCAAAAACUCGGGGCGGACUGGGCGGUUGGAUUAAACUUGCACGAGACACUCAUCUGCAUGUCGGAGAUGAAAUUGUUCUUGAGAUGAUAGAGCAGCAACCUAAAAUUACAUUUAAAGUUCAUAUAUUCCGAGCUUAGAAUAUAUAACAGUUUUAGGACCUUUGCUGCAUUAUGUGAAACCAUAGUGUAUGUCACUUACUUCUAU